rnacentral:tRNA from 1 species
GCCUGGGUGGCUCAGUCGGUUGAGCGUCCGACUUCGGCUCGGGUCAUGAUCUCGCGGUUCGUGGGUUCGAGCCCCGCGUCGGGCU